AUGAAGUUUCCUGUUCUUCUGUUGGCACUGCUGUUGUUCAUGAUUCCUGCUUCCAGAGGUGAUGUUGUGAUGACCCAAACUCCAACUUUCUUGCCUGUCAGCCUUGGAGAGCAAGUCUCCAUCUCUUGCAGGUCUAGUCAGAGCUUUGUAUAUAGUGAUGGAAACACCUAUUUGAAUUGGCUCCUUCAGAAGCCAGGCCAGUCUCCAAAGCUUCUGAUUUAUAAGAUUUCCAAACGAGCUUCUGGGGUACCAGACAGGUUCAGUGGCACUGGGUCAGGCACAGACUUCACACUUAAGAUCAGCAGAAUGGAACCUGAGGAUUUUGGACUUUAUUACUGCAUGCAAGCUUCAUAUGUUCCUCCCACAGUGAUUCAGACCCUAACAAAAACAUCCUUGCUUGGGGUGACCCAGCUGACGA